CCUACGGGGGGCUGCAGUCGAGGAUCAUUCGCAAUGGGCGCAAGCCUGACGAUGCGACGCUGCGUGGAGGAUGAAGGCCCUCGGGUCGUAAACUCCUGUCAUGAGGGAAGAGGAGAGUGUCACUAACACUGGCGCGAUUUGACGGUACCUCAAGAGGAAGCCACGGCUAACUCUGUGCCAGCAGCCGCGGUAAUACAGAGGUGGCGAGCGUUGUUCGGAUUUACUGGGCGUAAAGGGCGCGUAGGCCGCCGCGUGUGUCGGGUGUGAAAUCCCAGGGCUCAACCCUGGAAGUGCGCCCGAAACUGCGCGGCUCGAGUGCGGGAGGGGAGAUCGGAAUGCAGGGUGUAGCGGUGAAAUGCGUUGAUAUCCUGCAGAACACCGGUGGCGAAGGCGGAUCUCUGGAACGCAACUGACGCUGAGGCGCGAAAGCCUGGGGAGCAAACAGGAUUAGAUACCCCAGUAGUC
rnacentral:rRNA from 1 species